ACACUCCUACGGGAGGCAGCAGUGGGGAAUUUUGGACAAUGGGCGAAAGCCUGAUCCAGCAAUGCCGCGUGUGUGAAGAAGGCCUUCGGGUUGUAAAGCACUUUUGUCCGGAAAGAAAUCCUUGGCUCUAAUACAGUCGGGGGAUGACGGUACCGGAAGAAUAAGCACCGGCUAACUACGUGCCAGCAGCCGCGGUAAUACGUAGGGUGCGAGCGUUAAUCGGAAUUACUGGGCGUAAAGCGUGCGCAGGCGGUUUGCUAAGACCGAUGUGAAAUCCCCGGGCUCAACCUGGGAACUGCAUUGGUGACUGGCAGGCUAGAGUAUGGCAGAGGGGGGUAGAAUUCCACGUGUAGCAGUGAAAUGCGUAGAGAUGUGGAGGAAUACCGAUGGCGAAGGCAGCCCCCUGGGCCAAUACUGACGCUCAUGCACGAAAGCGUGGGGAGCAAACAGGAUUAGAUACCCGUGUAGUCCCAUGAU
rnacentral:rRNA from 1 species